rnacentral:lncRNA from 1 species
CUUUGCCAUGGAAACAUAGUAAGAAAACAACAAGGUUACUUUAAAACCCCCAGUGGAGCUGCAUUCCCUCUCUGGUCCAUGCUGAUCUGAAAGUGAAUGAGAACGAUCAUCAGCAGUGCUGUUAUGGGAUUCUAAACUCUGUUAGCAAUGGCUAGUCAUGUAGAUAAUGUGUAAAUAAACUACCUGCAUGCUGUUCUGCAUGGCUAUGAGCUGUUACCCAAGCUACCCCACCUUCAGCCCUGAGGUCAUGGGGUCUAGCAAGUGACCAUGGGAUUCUCCUUGCAGAUGGCUCUGAACAGCAGUUCUCCACUAGGUGACCUUGCCUGCCAGGGGACAUUUGGCAGUGACUGGAGAUGUUUUGGGUUGUCCCCAGUGGGGGGCUGCUACUGACAUCUGUGAACAGAAGCCAAGAAUGCUUCUAAACAUCCUGUGGUGCCCUGGACAGCUGGUCCACCAAGACUGUCAGCAGAGCUGAAGUGGAGAAACCCAGGUUUAGAGUGUGACACAGGAAGCCUGCUCUUGUGGUCUUUGUUCAUUAGCUGAUCCGGUGACCCCCUGAAUGUAUUAGCCUGAUGUUCCCAGUUUUAUGACAUUUACUCAGAGAAAGGACUUUGAGUAAUUGAGAGGAAGCAGAAUAGCCUUUAUAUUUUCUUCCUCCUUUGGUUCCUUAGAAGAAACAAAGAAAUUCACUGAGGCCAGUGCCUGCCCAACAUCCAAGACCCAUAGCACAUGCUGCUCCUGGCUGUGGUGUUGCUGUCUGAAUAGCUAGAAGCCAUGUUACCUAAUACUAAAUAUUUAGUUAUUUAUCUUUAUCUGCAAAAUAAACCUUCAUUAUUUAUGAGCCACCAUGUGGUUUCACAUUAGGCAUCUUUUUGCUUAAUAUAUAUUCUGUUAAGAGAGUUUUCUGGGUGUUUCUACCAAUCAAAAAGCAUUGGGCGGGGCUGGGGAUGUGGCUCAAGCGGUACCGCGCUCACCUGGCAUGCGUGUGGCCUGGGUUCGAUCCUCAGCACCACAUACAAACAAAGAUGUUGUGUCCACCGAAAACUAAAAAGCAUUGGGCACCAGUUGCAGUGGCCACUCCUGUAAUCCCAGCUACUUGGGAGACUAUGGCUGGAGGAUCAAAAGUUCAAGGCCAACCUCAGCAAUUUAGCUAGAUCCUCUCUCAAAAUUUUAAAAAAUAAUGGGGCUGGGGUUGUGGCUUAGUGGUAGAACACUUGCCUAGCAUGUUUGAGGCACUGGGUUUGAUCUCCAGCACCACAUAAAAAUAAAAACAAAUAAAUAAAGUAUUGUGC